GAUGAACGCUGGCGGCGUGCCUAAUACAUGCAAGUCGAGCGAACAGACGAGGAGCUUGCUCCUCUGACGUUAGCGGCGGACGGGUGAGUAACACGUGGAUAACCUACCUAUAAGACUGGGAUAACUUCGGGAAACCGGAGCUAAUACCGGAUAAUAUAUUGAACCGCAUGGUUCAAUAGUGAAAGACGGUUUUGCUGUCACUUAUAGAUGGAUCCGCGCCGCAUUAGCUAGUUGGUAAGGUAACGGCUUACCGAGGCAACGAUGCGUAGCCGACCUGAGAGGGUGAUCGGCCACACUGGAACUGAGACACGGUCCAGACUCCUACGGGAGGCAGCAGUAGGGAAUCUUCCGCAAUGGGCGAAAGCUUGACGGAGCUACGCCGCGUGAGUGAUGAAGGUCUUCGGAUCGUAAAACUCUGUUAUUAGGGAAGAACAAAUGUGUAAGUAACUAUGCACGUCUUGACGGUACCUAAUCAGAAAGCCACGGCUAACUACGUG
rnacentral:rRNA from 1 species